rnacentral:rRNA from 1 species
CUCGUAGGCGGUUCGGCAAGUCGGAUGUGAAAUCUCCACGCUCAACGUGGAGGGGCCAUUCGAAACUGCUGUGACUCGAGUCCGGUAGGGGAGUGUGGAAUUCCCGGUGUAGCGGUGAAAUGCGCAGAUAUCGGGAGGAACACCAGUAGCGAAGGCGGCACUCUGGGCCGGUACUGACGCUGAGGAGCGAAAGCGUGGGGAGCGAACA